rnacentral:rRNA from 1 species
CAUGGCUCAAGACGAACGCUGGCGGCGUGCUUAACACAUGCAAGUCGAACGAUGAAGCGGUGCUCGCACCGUGGAUUAGCGGCGAACGGGUGAGUAAUACGUGAGUCGACCUACCUUUGACUCUGGGAUAAGCCUGGGAAACUGGGUCUAAUACCGGAUACGACCAAUCUCUGCAUGGGGUGUUGGUGGAAAGCGUUAUGGAGUGGUUUUAGAUGGGCUCACGGCCUAUCAGCUUGUUGGUGAGGUAAUGGCUUACCAAGGCGACGACGGGUAGCCGGCCUGAGAGGGUGACCGGCCACACUGGGACUGAGACACGGCCCAGACUCCUACGGGAGGCAGCAGUGGGGAAUAUUGCACAAUGGGCGCAAGCCUGAUGCAGCGACGCCGCGUGAGGGAUGACGGCCUUCGGGUUGUAAACCUCUGUUAGCAUCGAAGAAGCGAAAGUGACGGUAGGUGCAGGGAAAGCGCCGGCUAACUACGUGCCAGCAGCCGCGGUAAUACGUAGGGCGCGAGCGUUGUCCGGAAUUAUUGGGCGUAAAGAGCUUGUAGGCGGUUGGUCGCGUCUGCUGUGAAAGGCCGGGGCUUAACUCCGGUUUUGCAGUGGGUACGGGCUAACUAGAGUGCAGUAGGGGAGACUGGAAUUCCUGGUGUAGCGGUGGAAUGCACAGAUAUCAGGAGGAACACCGAUGGCGAAGGCAGGUCUCUGGGCUGUAACUGACGCUGAGAAGCGAAAGCAUGGGGAGCGAACAGGAUUAGAUACCCUGGUAGUCCAUGCCGUAAACGUUGGGCACUAGGUGUGGGGGACAUUCCACGUUUUCCGCGCCGUAGCUAACGCAUUAAGUGCCCCGCCUGGGGAGUACGGCCGCAAGGCUAAAACUCAAAGGAAUUGACGGGGGCCCGCACAAGCGGCGGAGCAUGCGGAUUAAUUCGAUGCAACGCGAAGAACCUUACCAAGGCUUGACAUGCAUUAGAUCGCGUCAGAGAUGGCGUUUCCCUUCGGGGCUGGUGUACAGGUGGUGCAUGGUUGUCGUCAGCUCGUGUCGUGAGAUGUUGGGUUAAGUCCCGCAACGAGCGCAACCCUCGUUCUAUGUUGCCAGCGGUUCGGCCGGGGACUCAUAGGAGACUGCCGGGGUCAACUCGGAGGAAGGUGGGGAUGACGUCAAAUCAUCAUGCCCCUUAUGUCUUGGGCUUCACGCAUGCUACAAUGGCCGGUACAGAGGGUUGCGAUACUGUGAGGUGGAGCUAAUCCCUUAAAGCCGGUCUCAGUUCGGAUUGGGGUCUGCAACUCGACCCCUUGAAAGUCGGAGUCGCUAGUAAUCGCAGAAUCAGCAACGCUGCGGUGAAUACGUUCCCGGGCCUUGUACACACCGCCCGUC